rnacentral:tRNA from 1 species
GCGGGUGUGGCGGAACUGAUAGACGCGACGGAUUCAAAAUCCGUUCUUGGUGACAGAGUGUCAGUUCGAGUCCGACCGCCCGCACCA